ACCUAGUUCAGCUUCUCUUCACCAGCGCUGCCAUUUGUGUACUUCUAUCUUCAAAUACAAAAGCUAAUCAAUCUUCUUCGCUAACACUCUACUAGUGAGAUUUUCCAUUUGGUUUGUAUCCCUAUGAAGAAUGAACUGAUUUUUCAAUUAAAAGUAGUGGGCUGAUCUCCAUUGAUGAUCACUAACCAAUUCUGAGGGAUGUGCCACUUUUUCUGUUUGGUUUAUGUCAUUUCUUUGUUCAGUAUGUUUGCAAAGUAGCUUUCUUGUUAAACAAAGUCUUGGGUUUUGCUUUAAGUCGGAUUUUCUUUACUGGGUUCAUUCAAAAUAGCAUAAAAAGUUCAUGAUUUGGACCCAUUGGAAACGUCCGUUUUUUACUUUUAGAUUCUAUCGUUUGCUUUGAUGGAUUUUACAAUGUGAAUUGGAUUGGUGAAUCAUUUUAUUGUUUCCCAAUACGGAAUAUUUGCUUGUCCAAGAUAAACCGUGGAAAACGUGUGGUUUUCUUGAAUGAAAUUGUGUAUGUGCAUAUACCUCCAUUUGCUAUUGGUUUUCUGGUGAUAUUGCUUUGUGUCCCUAUGAAGAAUAGAACUAAAAGUAAAAGUAGUGGACUGAUUCUGCUUGAUGAAUAAUGCAUCUGAGGGAUACAUUUGAUCUUUCUUGUUUAUUUGUACAGGUUAUAUAUAACAUCUUAAGUCGUAGAAGAUCCACACACUCUUGCUUGUUUGCUAUAACAUACUGGCUUGCAAUUUCCUGUUUCGUAUCCAUAUUCCAUGUGAAAUUAUAAAUAAAACUAAAACUCAUCAAUGUUUUACUGCUGUGUAUUGUGCACAGUGUGGUCGUUGGUAGCCUUUAACGGCAAUGUCCAAAGCAUCACGUCAUUCUCUAUACGGUGGGGAGGUGUGUGAUGGCCUCGGUUAUUAUUAUUUAAAUAUUUUUUUUUUAUAUUUGAAAAAAAUGAAUCGCCUUGCAACGCAGCGGGCAAAAAACUCUAGUAUUAUACUAUUAUAUGAUAUUCAUUGCUGAAUCAUGUCCUGUUAAAUGAGUUUGUUGAAUGGAAAAGGUUAGGUUGGGACAGGGGACUUUGUUUGCCGACAGAUUCUGAAAUGCCUUUGUGGAAUUAUGGUAUUAUGACCAAAGGAAAGUUUAGCGGAUAUGUUCUCGUAUCAAAACGAUUCAGGAAAAAAAUUUCAGAAAGUUGAGAUAUGUUUUCCAUGGUAGAUUCAAACGGUUGCUUACGCGUGCUUUCAUUUUCUGGGGUCGAGCCCAUCAGAAUUUUAUUGUUCAAUGCUAGAUUGAACAUUGCAUGAUGAACGAUUUGAAAUUUAAAAGUAGUGGACUGAUAUCUGUCAAUGAAGAAAAUAAUUCUGAGAGAUGUGCAUUUCUUUUAAAAUAACCUGAUCAAAGUAUUUGCCGGUAUUGUAAUUUAGUGUAAAAAAAAACUCAAGCCUUGUUCUUACGCAGUGCUACUAGUAAAUUGGUCUGAUCCCUCACACACUCCACUUCCUCUGUUGUGAUUGUUUAUGUAUGUUUGGAGAGUCCUUCUUGAUGUGUUGAAACCAAAUGAUGAUUUUGGAUUCAAAUUUCUCACGAUGGUCAUCUGAGACUCUUCAAGUUUCAGUGUUGAUUCAAUUACCCAAUGCUCGUGAUGGUUUCAUCUCUCCAGUAUAAGAACUAAUUCAAGGAAGAAAUGAUACUGAUAAUGAUAGCAAGUAAAAUAACUGCAUUCUGAAUGGUCUUCAACUUGUUUCUCCUUCUCUGUUCACGUUUAAUUGUGCUUAAUACGCAGCAACAUUAGCAAAAGUUUCUUCAAGCAUGUUUAUUUUUAAAUGCCUUCUUGGUUUUGCUGCUGUUAAAUAAUCAAUAUUUUCCAUUAGUGUGUUGAGUUUACAUGCUUAUCUGUGUCUAGUUCUUUCAAGGAUCUUCGCUUCUGUAUGUUCUUCACUGACAAUUUAUUUAUAUGUCCGGGAAGCAACACUACUGCACACCAUUCCUGUGUGAACUAAUUUCAGCUGGCGCUGCCAGUUUGGAAGUGAAAGGUUUUUAAAGGUGGAAGAACUGCUAAUGAUGACAAAAAAAGAAAAACAAAAGUUGUUAUAGAGAAGGUUGAAAUUGUUCUUAUGGACAUCUCCAGUUCUCCUUUACAGUUAUGCACUGCGGAGUUUUAUUGUUGAACAUUUCUGCAUUUGCUGAACAAGUUUGAAGCAGGCCAUUAUCUUAAAGUUCCUAAGCACUCCUGCUGCAGUGUUUCAUGGUUAAGAAGCCAGUCUGGGAUUUCUAGCUGGAACCCGUCACCUCAAUCAAGUGGAUGGCGCCUGUGAUAAUUUACCUGGGUCUUCCUUGCUGCUGAUAUGCUAUAGGGGCGGGAGUUCCAGAUAUUCAUUUGACAUAGCUACAGGAAAAAAUAAGAAUGAUUAAAAUUCACUCCAAAUAAAUUUGCAGUUGUUCACCAAUUUCGCUGUGGUACACUUUCACAAUGCAUGGUGAUAACAUGAAUAUGAUUUCACAAUCCGAAAAUAUUGGAAUUUCAAGAGUUCCAGCUUCUGAGUUAGAGAGGUCUGAAAAGAAGAGAAGUGAAUUACAAAGAUGGUGGUAUUUGUUACAUUACUGGGCAAAGCACUGUAGCAGUGUUUUUUCCAGUUUUGUCUUUAAACUUUUUAUUUUUUUUUCAAUUGUAGCUUUAUAGGCUUAAUUUCAUGAUAAAUUUUUUGUGGAUAGACAAUUCAAAGAAAAAGGAUCUAGAAGUAAAACAAGGAGAACAACAUGGUUAAUUUAAAA